rnacentral:lncRNA from 1 species
AACAACAUGCUUUUACAACAAACUGUCUGUGUAUAAUAGAAGCUAAUGGCCUGGGUAAAAAAAUAAUAAAAUAAUCCAACUGAAAACGAAAUCAAGACAUCUGUACCACGAGAGCAUAAUCUACAACAUUAUAGGAAAAUGUUUCGUUAUCUUAUAAGUUUGGAAAUCAUGCUUCUCAUUAGGAGUACAACCAUCUGAAAUAGGUUUUACUUAUAUAAUAUUCAGUUAGACAUCUCAAAAUAAGUAGUACAACAAUCUAAGAGGCUCAACAACAAUCAAGAACAUGAUAUCUAUAGAACUCAUCAAUGAUAAGAUUACCAACUCUAAAAAUGGUUGGACACAAUAUGAGCGUACUCUCUAUAAAGGUUCGACAAAGACAGGAGCAUGAUAACAUAUGAAAGCUCAUCUUCAUAGAAGAAUAACAUGGAUAAUAAAAUAUGAUAUAUAGUCUAGCAUCUCAUAAACUCGUAAACCAACAUAUGACUGGGAGAUCAUGAUUUAUUUGAUGAUCAAGAAGCAUGUAGCAGCACUCCAUUUGGAUCUUGAAUAUUGCUAGGAGUUUGAACAAGACAUAUUUGAUAUGUCUUUGAUCUCUUAAUGGAUAUUUCAAUAUUUUUAUGGAAUUUUGGAGAUAGUAUAUUCGAUCUCUUUGUGCAAAUUCCAUGAUUUUUUAUGAAAUUGC